UGAGGAAUUUUGCGCAAUGGGCGCAAUCCUGACGCAGCAACGCCGCGUGGGUGAUGAAGGCCUUCGGGUCGUAAAGCCCUGUCAGGUGGGAAGAAUGUCCUGGAAUUGAACAGGUUUCGGGAGUGACGGUACCACCAGAGGAAGCACCGGCUAACUCCGUGCCAGCAGCCGCGGUAAUACGGAGGGUGCAAGCGUUAUUCGGAAUUACUGGGCGUAAAGCGCGUGUAGGCGGUCCUUGAAGUCCGAUGUGAAAGCCCCGGGCUUAACCCGGGAAGUGCAUUGGAAACUGCAGGUCUUGAGUACUGGAGAGGAUGGGGGAAUUCCCGGUGUAGAGGUGAAAUUCGUAGAGAUCGGGAGGAAUAUCAGUGGCGAAGGCGCCCAUCUGGACGGUAACUGACGCUGAGACGCGAAAGCGUGGGGAGCAAACA
rnacentral:rRNA from 1 species